AUUGAACGCUGGCGGCAGGCCUAACACAUGCAAGUCGAGCGGAUGAAGGGAGCUUGCUCCUGGAUUCAGCGGCGGACGGGUGAGUAAUGCCUAGGAAUCUGCCUGGUAGUGGGGGAUAACGUCCGGAAACGGGCGCUAAUACCGCAUACGCCCUGAGGUAGAAAGUGGGGGAUCUUCGGACCUCACGCUAUCAGAUGAGCCUAGGUCGGAUUAGCUAGUUGGUGGGGUAAAGGCCUACCAAGGCGACGAUCCGUAACUGGUCUGAGAGGAUGAUCAGUCACACUGGAACUGAGACACGGUCCAGACUCCUACGGGAGGCAGCAGUGGGGAAUAUUGGACAAUGGGCGAAAGCCUGAUCCAGCCAUGCCGCGUGUGUGAAGAAGGUCUUCGGAUUGUAAAGCACUUUAAGUUGGGAGGAAGGGCAGUAAGUUAAUACCUUGCUGUUUUGACGUUACCAACAGAAUAAGCACCGGCUAACUUCGUG
rnacentral:rRNA from 1 species